GUCCUCAUAGCUUAAAUGGACAGAGCACCUGCCUCCUAAGCGGGCGAUCCAGGUUCAAUUCCUGGUGGGGACGCCA
rnacentral:tRNA from 1 species